rnacentral:rRNA from 1 species
CAGCCGCCGCGGUAAUACAGAGGGUGCAAGCGUUAAUCGGAAUUACUGGGCGUAAAGCGCGCGUAGGUGGUUCGCCAAGUUGGAUGUGAAAUCCCCGGGCUCAACCUGGGAACUGCAUCCAAAACUGGCGAGCUAGAGUAUGGUAGAGGGUGGUGGAAUUUCCUGUGUAGCGGUGAAAUGCGUAGAUAUAGGAAGGAACAUCAGUGGCGAAGGCGACCACCUGGACUGAUACUGACACUGAGGUGCGAAAGCGUGGGGAGCAAACAGGAUUAGAUACCCCCGUAGUCCCUGUCUCUUAUAC